rnacentral:lncRNA from 1 species
UCGGAGAAAAAGAGUCGCGUACGAGAAGCGCGUAGAUAAGAAAUUGGUCUCGCAAUCGAGUUUGGGUUCAGAAGUCGGUUAUGCAAGGGGAAAGUAUUAGCACCCCUCACGUCCAUGGUACUCCAUGGGAACCAUUUAGGUUGUUUACGUAUGCAGGUAUUUAUCACAUUUAUUGUUUUAUUUUCAAAAAGAGUGUGAGAGGGUGGGUUUUUG